GGGGAGUACGUCCGCAAGGAUGAAACUUAAAGGAAUUGGCGGGGGAGCACCGCAACGGGAGGAGCGUGCGGUUUAAUUGGAUUCAACACCGGAAAACUCACCAAGGGCGACUGUUACAUGAAAGCCAGGCUAAUGACCUUGCUUGAUUUUCAGAGAGGUGGUGCAUGGCCGUCGUCAGUUCGUACCGUAAGGCGUUCUCUUAAGUGAGAUAACGAACGAGACCCUCACCGAUAAUUGCCAGUCCGAUCCCCGGAUCGGGCGCAAAUUAUAGGGACCGCUGGCGGGGGGUCGGGGGGGGGAGAGGUCAACGGUAGGUCAGUAUGCCCCGAAUCUCUUGGGCUACACGCGCGCUACAAAGGGCAAAACAAUGGGUUCCGACGCCGAGAGGCGGAGGCAAUCCCGAAACCCGUCCGUAGUUCGGAUUGAGGGUUGUAACUCACCCUCAUGAAGCUGGAUUCCGUAGUAAUCGCGAAUCAACAACUCG
rnacentral:rRNA from 1 species